rnacentral:rRNA from 1 species
GAUGAACGCUGGCGGCGUGCCUAAUACAUGCAAGUCGAGCGAACGGACGAGAAGCUUGCUUCUCUGAUGUUAGCGGCAGACGGGUGAGUAACACGUGGAUAACCUACCUAUAAGACUGGGAUAACUUCGGGAAACCGGAGCUAAUACCGGAUGAUAUUUUGAACCGCAUGGUUCAAAAGUGAAAGACGGUCUUGCUGUCACUUAUAGAUGGAUCCGCGCUGCAUAGCUAGUUGGUAAGGUAACGGCUUACCAAGGCAACGAUGCAUAGCCGACCUGAGAGGGUGAUCGGCCACACUGGAACUGAGACACGGUCCAGACUCCUACGGGAGGCAGCAGUAGGGAAUCUUCCGCAAUGGGCGAAAGCCUGACGGAGCAACGCCGCGUGAGUGAUGAAGGUCUUCGGAUCGUAAAACUCUGUUAUUAGGGAAGAACAUAUGUGUAAGUAACUGUGCACAUCUUGACGGUACCUAAUCAGAAAGCCACGGCUAACUACGUG